UCUUUAUUACAUUUAUGCGUUCAAGGUCCUACGGUCGAGAUCCAGACUCCGUUGAAUGGUCCCAUUAUCUUUUUCUAGCAUGUAUCGUGUUACCGCAUUCCGAAGUCAGAAAAAUGACUUCAUUCGAGCUCUGACUCUCAUUGUUGUUGUAAAUAAAAAAAAAUUCUCUCUUUUUCCGCCCGUUUUUUUUUGCACAUUCGAGAAUUUCGAAACUCCUGCUCCGUGGCGUAACUAAAAGUAAAAGUUGUGGAACUGUGUUUCAUCCCAACCGUAAUAUCAAGUGCAAAAAAAAAUUUCGGUGCCCCCUACAAGUGUAACAAGCUUUAACGUAAAACUUAGAAUUGUGUUCUGGUGUACAUAAGUGCAGUAUCAAGUGUGGAAAAAAAAAUUCUUUUCUUGCUCUAUACAAGAUAAAAUUCAAAAUUUAAUCGCUCUGAUCAACUAUUCUUAAAAUUUUCGAGCACUAUGUUUCGACAGGGCGUAACGUUGAACGAGUUUUGCCGACAUCGCGCGUCCAUAUAUAUUAUCCUCCGGAUCGUGGCAUAUCUACGGAUGCUGAUGGACCCACAACCCCCGAAUCGUGGCGUGUGGCUAUGCGACCAGAUCGACACAUUAGUCCAGUCACGCCUUCCUCCUCAUGAGCGUUUUGAGCCGGAGGGCUCAUUGGUUCGAACUCGGGCGUUUUUUUAUGCCCGCAUUUUAAGUGCCCCGUUGCGGUCAUUUCAGUCUCCGGACAUGCACGUCUUUUGGCAGUUAUGGCCCGAGCUUGAAAAGAUCGCUAUCGGUAAAAUUAUCGCCGAACAACUUUCGUCGGAAACGCCGCCCGCCCUUCUAGACGCAGCUGCAUCAUAAUAAACAUCUAUUUUUGUGUACUACACUGUUAAAAAAAAAUAGUAAAUUUCCAAUAUGUUUACCAAACAUAUGUUAUAGAAAUUUACAAAUUAGCAUAUUGUAAAACUAAACAGUGAACGAUAUUCGUAAAAUUACAAUGUCUCACUGCAAAAAUGACAUUCAAAUUGUACAAUCAGAAAAAAAAAUUGUUAUUUUACCUUAUUUUGUAUGAAUCAGAUACGUAUAGCAAUUUUACAAUAGUAUAGUUAAAAUUUUAACACCAAUAUGGUAAAUUUAUUAUAAAUUCGUGUAAUUAAACUUACCAUAAUUGUUGGUAAUUUUGGGCAAAAAUUUGAUUUCAAAAUUACUACUAAUUUUUUUGAA